rnacentral:lncRNA from 1 species
CAGACAAAUUCCACGUGAAUACGUAUUUUAUUUGCUCACAUGAGCUACAAAAUUCCAACUUUGUUACAUCUGCACAAAAUAUGUUUACUUUUUACAAAAGGCUCCACCAGACUGCCACCUUGCAGUUGAUUUUUCCACAAAGUGCAAGAGAGAAUAGAGCACAUUUGACAUGUACAAAAAAUGAUGAAACCUCGAUGGAAUUUCAUGUCUUUAUUGUACUGGACUUAAUUUUACUUUCAAUAUUGGUGAUGUGCGUAAGUAACGCAUUGUAAUACCAUUCUGAGUAAAUAUUCUCUUUCAAUUUGAGUACGCUGGGCAUCCUUUCAAAAAAGUUUCUGAAGGUGGUUGCUUUCGGGUGAGGCAAGAAUUAAUGUGACAUUUAUGAGAUGUCUAAAUUAAAGGCAGAUCAAAAAAUGAUAAAGUAUGUUUGGCUCGAAUGGCACUGUGUAGUUGUCGGACAAGAUCCAGUGCAGGCUGUCUUUGGAACUGAUGUAUUUAUUCACCUAGGGAUCAUCUCACGGUGAUGUAAGAUUUGUUAUCACAGUACAUUGAAAAUAAAUAACUCUAAUAUACACACACAUCCAGGAUAAAAGUAUGUGUCACGAGGAUAGAACAGGUGGUCAGUUACGGCCUUACUGAAGGAACCAUCCUGGCUUUUGCUGAAAUAAUUUAGGAAAAUCUAAAUUAGGAUGGCGAGACAGGGAAACUCUGUCUCCCAGAAUAUGAGGUCAGUGUCUUAAUGACAGCAGUUCCUUGUUCUUUGGUCCCUGUUGUACAGUGUGCUUCUUAUCAUGAACCAGUUUAUGCUGGGAAAUUAAACAGUUCCAGUUUUGUCCACCCAUUGCAAAUCUGGCACUGUGAAUGCAAGAAAGAUGUACAGAAAUGUUUCUGUAAGUAAUUUAUUAGGAACAGUACACGGGUGGAAAAGUUCAAAUGAGUGAGAAAGGCACAAUGUUGAUGUUUAUUAUUAACUGCUGUUUACAGAACUUAUUCAGGAUGAGCACUGGAGAUGUUGACAGGAUGUUGCAUCUGUACAACAGUUGCUCACAGCAGUUUCAGUGGGAUCUGAGUAACCUAUUCCCUAUAUACAGGCCUUCAGAUCAGGUAGGGAUCGAACGUGUCUGUGGUAAACACAUUCUUUUAUGGUAGAUAGUCCCAGAGCCAAAAGUCACAUGGGUUCUCAUCACCUGAUCUGGCAGGCCAUGCAUCUAAAACCUUUGGAGAAAACACAUUCAUGGAAGGUUGCAUUAAGCAGAUUUUUCACUGUUCUAGCAAUGUGAUGUGUAGUCCCAUCUUGCCUGAAAACAGUGAUUUCCCUACGGUUGUGCUCUUUCAAAUCAGGAAUCGUGCUGUAAAACAAGGUCUCAAUAAUGUGCAAACAUAACGAUACACCUGACAGGCCCUCUAGUUAUAUUCUCUUCAAAGAAGAGCAGACCAAGAAUAAAGAUGCUUGUGAAUCCACACAACACAGUCACGUAAAGUGAAUGCAGUAGUUCUUUGUGUACAAUAUAUGAUUUAACAGUGCCCCUAAUUUUGAAGUUUUGUGUAUUCGGUACACCGUGUUGUGUAAAAUGUGCCUCGUCACUCGAUAGAAUAUAGCCGGCCACACUUAAAACUUCCGUCUGUGCUGGAAACCAAAGAGCAAUGUCAGAAGUUGCUGUUGAUCAUGAGGUUUGAAUUUCUACAUCUUGCCGGAUCUUGUAUGGGUACCAUUGUAAUACAGCCUGCAGAAUUUUCUGUACUUUUGACCCUGAGGAAGACAAUUCUUGCAACACUGCACAAAAAUUAGCUCUAUCGGGGACACGUGCUGCAUGGUCAGUUAUAGCAACAGUAACCUUGUCAAUAACUUCCACCAGUAUAGGACGCCUUCCUCUUCCGUUUGCUACCCAAGCUGACCCGUGUUUCCGAAUUUCAUUAUCAUAUUUCUUAAACCAUUUAAUGGAAUCUGGCCUCUCCUAAAACCUUUCACUCAGCGAUACUCUCAGUGCAACACUGUAAUUGCUGCCAUUCACGUAAAACAGUUUCACUAACAGCACAUGGUCUCUGUUCUUGAUAGCCACCUGUUCACUCAUGUUAUAUCUUGUCAAAUGACAGCAAGGAUGUCAUACUGCCACUCAAACUGCAUACAGCACCAGAUUUGCACCUGGUGGCCAUAAAUGUAACUAUUUUUUUUCCCCAGCAUAAAUCGGUUCCAUAUAAACACAUUAGCAUAUUUACCAAUUUUUGCAGCCAUACAAUAAUUACAGCAUACAUAGAACCUCUGUGAGGAACCGCACUUUAAUUAUAACCACCCGAUAUUAUAAUGUGAGAGGGAGUUCUUGUCAUUCCCUUUCAUUAAUAACCACUGUUCUGAAUCUUCUAAGUAAUCUUUAAUUGUGUAGCAGGAGAAGUUUAUGUCUCUCAGAAGUUCAAGAAGGGAUGCAUUCAAUGUACUAACUGCAUUUGUUUUCUAGACUCCUUAAGUGCAUGCAUGGUGCUGUGGCCUCUUACUGAAAACGAAGUGCGCACCUUUCACAUUUGUUAGAUCAGCAGCACUGUCAAGGAAAGCGCUAUUUCUGUAUGAAAUUAGUAUAGCGGUAUUUCAAUACCACAUUGAAUACUGAUUUUGAUCUGACAUUGAAUGUACCAGAUGCAUAUGCCCACACUACUACUAGUACUGAACCUACUACUGUUCCUUGGUUAGAAGCAUGAUUUCUACAAACUUCAAUUUUCCUGUUAUUUUUGUUGCACAGGCUCAUUGAAAUACCUGUCAUUGCAUUUUCUUUAGUAGCAGUUGUUGCUAGGUAUAUGGACAAACGUCCACACUGAAGACAAUUCUGUUCAUAUUUCAGUGUUACUGAUCCACUGAAAUACCAUGGCUGUGAGAUGAGGAACAUCCUCAGAUGCUAAAUGAAAGGCAUGAACUUACAUCCAAACUUGAAAUCUGCUGCAUUAGGUUAGACCAAGGUUUCCCAAACUGUGUUCUGUGGAAUUUUGGUGCUUCAUGGGAAGUGAGUAAAUGAUCCAAGAAAAACUAUUUACAACAUGGAAUUUUGUGUUUCUGACAUUCCGACAAAAUCAAUUGUAACUUUUUAAAAUUUUUAUUAAGAUUUCUGUGUUAUUAGGUAGGAUUUAAAAUUGAAACAAUCACUAAAUAAAACAAAUUUUAUUCAUUUUUUAAAAAUUUUGUUAACCUUCAGCACAAACAAUGUGUUCCAUCAAAGUGCUAGGAUUCUAAAGAGUUCUGUCAGAGAAAAAGUGUGGGAACCCCCGAGUUAGACUUUAUGUUGCUGCCAUUUGUCUUUCAUUGGAUUGUGCCAGUGAAAUAAAAAACUCUUUCUCAAAAAAUGAGGUUGAGCCCUCACCUCUUGUAACUAUCAUAGCUGUAGAUGAAUAUGUCUUGUGUGGGUUUUACAAUUUAACACCAGAAAAGAGGUUUUAUUUGUAGGCUGCUGAAUGAGGUCUUUAAAACUGAGUAGCUAUUCAUUUGUGUUUGCUGACUAUUGUAGACUGUGAGGGUAAUAAGGUUUCAACAUUGUAAUGCCAUUAUACACAUUAAUGUAUUUUAUCUUAUACAGAGCUUCUUACAAGGUCCUGCGGCUAAGAAGUAGUCUUACGCAUUGACAAGCAGUGAUGUCUGGAUAUGGAGUGCAGCUUGUGAUGUGCACUGUGAAUGGAAGAGUUUGGGCAAGAACUGCCUGAGGUGUUUCACUUUCCUCUAUGUGUGAAACAUUGCAGGGAAAGUCCACAGAAAAUAUGUUUCAGCACCUAAGCACAGCUGUUUUGGAUAAUCUCCAGAUCGUUAUCGGAUGUGUGCUUGGAACUGAAAUACAAGUGCCUGUAAUUCCUGUCCCUCAAAUUAACCCUCAGGGCAGAUUGGCUGCAGCAGAAAAUGAACUUUAAAACAUGGUGAACAGUUGAUGAGCAGAGGUUGACCUGAGUUUGUGACGAUUGAGCAUCAAGAAGAAUUGGUGCGCAAGAGCAUCAGAUGCAGCAUAAUCAAAUAUUAUUUUACUAACUGCACCACAACCAAUUCUAAGUCACAUAUCCAGAUUAUUUGGAGAAUUGCUUCUUAUAUGCUUGGUCAAUAAGCUUUAAAUCGUAGAAAAGUUGUAAUUUUACAUUAAAAUGCAGCCAUGACUAGCAAAUCACUAAAUUAGGUGCUUAGUUUAUUAUUUUUCAGUGUUUCUUCCUUGGAGAGAAAUGUAAUUUUAACGUUGUUCACCAUUGGUCUAGUCCGUUUCACUGCUUUCUGCGAAUGAUUCAUCGAUAUUGGAAAUAGGUAUGGUUUACAGUACAUGCAAAUAUUUUUGCAAUGUGAAUUGUUGACUGUAAAUUGCAACAGUUGUGAAUAUUGUGUUGGACAGAUGUAAUAGAGCAAAGUCUGUAAUUUAUGAUUUGAGUUAUAAUUUUUUUUUAUGAACGACGAUCCAAGUAAUGGUUACUUCGUGUGUCAGGAAGCGUACAGAAUUGCUAUUUUUCUAACAAUAUUUAUGGGUAUUAUGUCGCGAACAUCUAUAAAAAGUUUAACUUUUAUCUCAGUUAUUUGUCUGACAUUAAUAAUUUGCUCAGAGUAUCCACCAUUGUAUUCAAGUGUAAACUUUUCCAUCAACUAGUACCUUGUUUCGCAGUCUCAAACAAGUAAAGCACUAAACUUUCUCAUUACAAGAGGUAGUACUGACAUAGGUCAAAUGAAGGCAGAUACUGACAGAUAUUCACUUUUACAUAAAGAGGGCACAAUGUCCCACAGUAAACACAAGACAUAUCAAGGAUCUUACAAGUUUAAAUGUAGGUGAGAAUUUAAGCACUAUGAUUAGCAGAAACUUUCAAACAUUGCAUUGUGACUCUCGGAGAAAAGAAAUUAAAUAAGUGAUAAAUGCUAACCAACAAUAAUCUAAAAUAAAUAUUCUAAACGAAUUAUCCAUUGUAAUCACAGAUUUACAGUAAAUUGCGUUUUUAGUUAAAUUUGUUGCUGAUAAUCCAUUACACUCUAAAGCAGUAGUAAUCUUCAUAACUUCCAUCAUGCAGAUAAACAGUGAUCUUCAUUGAUUUUCAAUAAAGUUGAAAGUGGUGUGAAUGUUGCUACAAUGAAAAUACUCAGUUAUGUAUUCAGUUAUGUAUUCAGUAGUGUCAGAUGCAUGGAGAUAGCAGGAGGUGAUUGGCAGUUUUGAACCUACUACUUACAUUUAGAUUGAGGAUAAGUUUUUUCAGUUUUUAGUGCAUGUUUCUGUUCUUUAUGUUACGUUUUAUUCUCGUUAUUUGAAUGAUUGAAGUUAAGAUUAUCAAAAUAGAAAAAAAGGUAAACUGUCGAAAUACAACCUGAAAAAAGAAACAGACUUUAAAAACUAAAUGUAAAAAAUGAGUCAGAAUAGAUUUGCAUAUUGUUUUGUCAUGUGACAUUGUACAGAUACUGAGGACGAUUUGAAAAUAAAUGAAAUUACACACAA